GGAGCAUAUGCCAAUACAUGGAACCAAAGUAAGAUGUGCUCGAUGCAGUACAAGAAACCAACCUCAUCGAACGAGGUGGCAUUGCACUGUAUGUAAGGUGGGACUAUGUUUAUCUGAAAAAAUCAAUUGUUUUUUAGAAUAUCAUAAAAAAUAAAGUGAACUUACCUCCUUUAUGAAUAUUUAUUAUCAUUUUAUAAAAAUUGAGAUAGUACUAAUCAGUACCAGUGGUUCCACCAUGGAACCACCUCCAAA
rnacentral:lncRNA from 1 species